UACAGAGGGUGCAAGCGUUGUUCGGAAUUACUGGGCGUAAAGCGCACGUAGGCGGAUCGAUCAGUCAGGGGUGAAAUCCCAGAGCUCAACUCUGGAACUGCCUUUGAUACUGUCGGUCUAGAGUAUGGAAGAGGUGAGUGGAAUUCCGAGUGUAGAGGUGAAAUUCGUAGAUAUUCGGAGGAACAUCAGUGGCGAAAGCGACUUCCUGGACCAAUACUGACGCUCAUGUGCGAAAGCGUGGGGAGCAAACAGG
rnacentral:rRNA from 1 species